rnacentral:rRNA from 1 species
UGGGGAAUAUUGCACAAUGGGGGAAACCCUGAUGCAGCGACGCCGCGUGAACGAAGAAGGUAUUCGUAUCGUAAAGUUCUGUCCUAUGGGAAGAUAAUGACAGUACCAUAGAACAAAGCUCCGGCUAAAUACGUGCCAGCAGCCGCGGUAAUACGUAUGGAGCGAGCGUUGUCCGGAAUUAUUGGGCGUAAAGGGUACGCAGGCGGUUUAAUAAGUCGAAUGUUAAAGAUCGGGGCUCAACCCCGCAAAGCAUUGGAAACUGAUAAACUUGAGUAGUGGAGAGGAAAGUGGAAUUCCUAGUGUAGUGGUGAAAUACGUAGAUAUUAGGAGGAAUACCAGUAGCGAAGGCGACUUUCUGGACACAAACUGACGCUGAGGUACGAAAGCGUGGGGAGCAAACAGG